CAUCAACAUUCCUGGUGGUGAGGGCAGGGAGCCCUCUCCUAUCCUGCUCGUGUCUGACUAGCUAUCAACUGUAAUACUUACAAGAAGAGCAAGAGAUACCAGGCAGGCAUGCACGUAGAGGAAAGACCAUGUGAGGACAUGGUGAGAAGGCAGCAUUGGCAAACCAUGGACAGAGAAACCAAACCUUCCGACUCCCUCAUCUUGGACUUCCAGCCUCCAGAACUUGGUAGAGGACAACACCAGAAAUCACCCUCCACCCACCCUGAGAAGAAUGCAUCAUUGACUUGUCCCAUUCCCUCUUUUUACAUGUUUACCUUAUGUAAGAUGUAGAUAUACCAAGCGAGACCUUUUCCUUUACUCCCUCUUUUCAGGUAAAAAAUGUAGAUUUACUGAGCGCUAAUCAGAGCCUCACAAGAACAUGACCAUCUGCUUUGCUGUCCACCCUUCCUCCCUUUCCCCUUCCUACUUGCUCUUUCCCCUGUAAAUGCUGAAGUUCCCAAAACUUUAUUUGGAAAAAGUGCAAGUCACCGAGGCUCCUGUGACUUGUUUCCCUAGUGUAUCCUCAAAUUUUGGCUAAAAAUCCUCUAUCAAUGGAGACACUUGCCUCAGUCACUUUUUGGUUAAUAAGACCGAUAUGGACAGGAGGCUGGGAAACACUGGGUAGAAGAGGGAGGUUCCCUGGCAAAAGCCCCACCCUCAAGCCUGAAAACCCAUGGCCCUAAAUGGGAACAGGCAUUCCUGUUUUUGUGCCCUAAUGUUGCCUUUUGGCCCAUCACACCCCACUAUCCUGUACCCAUAUAAACCCCAAACCUCAGGCUCCACGAGCAGAAGAGCACAGAGCAGCAGAGUGGCACAGCAGAGAAGGGGAGAAGAUAAGGAGCAUCUGAACAUCAAGAGGAGUUUGACUGGGGACUGUCAGAGAGGAGAUAGGCCAUAGAAUGAUGGAACUCCAGGGGAAGAUCAUCUUCCCACUCCAUCCCCUUCCCAGCUCCCCACCCAUCCUGCUAAAAGCCACCUCCACCUCUCAAUAAAAUCCCCACAUUCACCAUUCUUCAAGUUCAUGUGACCUGAUUCUUCCUGGACACUGGAUGAAGACCCAGGUACCAAGAGGGCAGGGUGCAAAAGGCUGUCACCUUGACUCUCCAAUGAGCUAGUUUAAUACUUAGCCAUCUGUGGAUGGCAACUGCUAAAUGAGCAUUAAUUGUAACACACCGCUGGAUGCUACCAUGGGGUCAGAGCCCAAAAGUGCUUGCCCCAGCUCCUCCACCUGCCCAUCUGUAUGCUCCCCAUCCCGUAAGGGGUUUGAGCAUGCAGUGGCCAAGCAAAUGAGCCAUAUCCCUGUCUCUAGUUCUGCAA
rnacentral:lncRNA from 1 species